rnacentral:rRNA from 1 species
AGAUUGAACGCUGGCGGCAUGCCUUACACAUGCAAGUCGAACGGCAGCACGGGGGCAACCCUGGUGGCGAGUGGCGAACGGGUGAGUAACAUAUCGGAACGUGCCCUGGAGUGGGGGAUAACUAGUCGAAAGACUAGCUAAUACCGCAUACGAUCUACGGAUGAAAGUGGGGGAUCGCAAGACCUCAUGCUCGUGGAGCGGCCGAUAUCUGAUUAGCUAGUUAGGUGGGGUAAAGGCCUACCAGGCAUCGAUCAGUAGCUGGUCUGAGAGGACGACAGCCACACUGGGACUGACGACACGGCCCAGACUCCUACGGGAGGCAGCAGUGGGUAAUUUGGACAAGUCGGGGGAAACCCUGACUCCAGCCACUCCCGCGUGGUCGCGAGUAGGAACGGUCCGUUGGUU